rnacentral:lncRNA from 1 species
AUCUUUAUCCUCUCACGUGGAUAAGACACGUUCGAUGUUAUUUUAAAAAGAGGAGAAAGGUGGGACGUGCGUAGAAAUUUUAGGAGAGAAACUUUGGGGCAUGAGGAAAGUUUGUGCACAAGGUGAAGGUCCAAAACCUUCCGAGAGAAAAAGAAAGAAAAGAAAGAAAAUUGAGCGCAGGGUUUCUAGUGUGUACCCUAGGGUUUCUACCUAGGGUUUGGGAAGUGAGAUUGGUGUGCCACGAGUGUCGUGAGUCCACCAAAUUUUAGAGAGAGAUCCAUCAGCCUCUCAAGCAACCGUGCAAA